CAAAAUAGGAUUCCAUGCGUUAAGUGUUCCGUGGAUGGGGAGUUGCCACAGAAACGAAAAGUCCGUCUUACGAUAUGGGAUUCGCACCCGUUG
rnacentral:ncRNA from 1 species